rnacentral:rRNA from 1 species
UACGUAGGGGGCUAGCGUUGUCCGGAAUCAUUGGGCGUAAAGAGCGUGUAGGCGGCCCGGUAAGUCCGCUGUGAAAGUCGGGGGCUCAACCCUCGAAUGCCGGUGGAUACUGUCGGGCUAGAGUGCGGAAGAGGCGAGUGGAAUUCCUGGUGUAGCGGUGAAAUGCGCAGAUAUCAGGAGGAACACCGGUGGCGAAGGCGGAUCUCUGGGCCUUGCCUGACGCUGAGGCGCGAAAGCUAGGGGAGCGAACAGG